UGGGGAAUAUUGGGCAAUGGGCGCAAGCCUGACCCAGCCACGCCGCGUGAGUGAUGAAGGCCUUCGGGUCGUAAAGCUCUGUGGGGAAGGACGAAAAACAUUGGCUAAUAUCCAAUGGCUUGACGGUACUUCCUUAGCAAGCACCGGCUAACUCUGUGCCAGCAGCCGCGGUAAUACGUAGGGUGCAAGCGUUAAUCGGAAUUACUGGGCGUAAAGCGUGCGCAGGCGGUUAUGCAAGACAGAUGUGAAAUCCCCGGGCUCAACCUGGGAACUGCAUUUGUGACUGUAUAGCUAGAGUACGGUAGAGGGGGAUGGAAUUCCGCGUGUAGCAGUGAAAUGCGUAGAUAUGCGGAGGAACACCGAUGGCGAAGGCAAUCCCCUGGACCUGUACUGACGCUCAUGCACGAAAGCGUGGGGAGCAAACAGGAUUAGAUACCCAUGUAGUCCCUGAGCGGGCUGGCAAGGCGCAU
rnacentral:rRNA from 1 species